AUUUUUAAUAGAUAAAGUUUUAUUUUUAAAAAAAAAAAAGUUGUGAUGACUAAAAUACAAGCAACAACUCAAAUUUUUUUAUAAUGAGAGUUUCUUAUAUUGAUAAUUCUUAUCGCUAAAAUAUUUGUAUUGAAAAAGUAAAUGUUAAAUCAUAGUCUAAAAAAUUAAUAUUUUAAUAGUGUAGCUUAAAAUAUAAUUAAGGAAAAAUGGUCAAAAGCCCCUCCAACCUUUACCCCAAAUCUCA
rnacentral:lncRNA from 1 species